GAGAGAGGCCCGACGGCAGUAAGGACUGCUAAUCCUCUACGACCACAGUUAAACUCCGUGGCUCACUCG
rnacentral:tRNA from 2 species